AGCUUUGUGCAGUGGCAGUAUCGUAGCCAAUGAGGUUUAUCUGAGGUGUGAUUAUUGCCAAUUGAAAAAAAAAAGUAAAGUGGCAAGUUUUUAAUGUUUUUCAAAGUUUGAUAUAAGUGUAAUUGAUUUAAAACA